AUACCUACUGAGCAGGGAAGAUGCUAUGGUCACGAAGGUGUUUUUCCCGAGGUGAGGCCUCUCCGUUGUAUUUUAGAUAUCCUGACUCCUGCAAUAUCCCCAAAUGUGGGAAAACGUGCCUGCACACUUCGUGGUAGUGAGGAACUUGGUUCAUGCUCUCCC